rnacentral:rRNA from 1 species
UAGGGAAUCUUCCACAAUGGACGAAAGUCUGAUGGAGCAACUCCGCGUGAGUGAAGAAGGGUUUCGGCUCGUAAAACUCUGUUGUUAAAGAAGAACAUAUCUGAGAGUAACUGUUCAGGUAUUGACGGUAUUUAACCAGAAAGCCACGGCUAACUACGUGCCAG